rnacentral:lncRNA from 1 species
AUAACUAUGGCAGAGAGCAGGAGGAUUGACAUGGCCCUGAGGCAAGACUAUGAAAGUGUACUCUUAGCCCUGACGAGUAGAAACAAACUGUUCCUGGUGGUCUUUACAAAUUGGUAUGGAGGAAAAGGCAUACAGCAGCUUCUGAUAGGAAUUUCCUCGCUGACCUUCCAGUCGCCACUAACAGUCUCUUCCAAACUUCUCCAUUCCUUCUAUCAGACUCAAAAACAAUGUCACAUGUUAUGGCAGGACCUCACUUUCAGAUCCACAUGGAUUUGAAUCAUCUGAUUUGAAUUUUCCAUCUUUUCAUUGUGAAACAUGAAGAGUUGGCUACAUAAUAAUGAUGAAGAUGAGUAUGCAAAGUUGAAGCACCAUGGUUGGGGAGAGCAGCCUCCUAAGUUGUUUAUCGCAUGGGAAUGAGGGUCAGGUCACAUGACUUGGGUCCUGGUUGGGGACAUCUUAGGCAUCUGAUCUCUCUAAGAGAUCACCACUGAAGAUACAUAAAAAUAAGCCCUUGCU